GUUGCAUGAGGAGAAGAAGGUCAGUGAUUAUCUAUUUGCUUUGGCAUGCUUACCGGAUAAGCGAGUGAGAGUGUAUUUAGCAUGCAUUGCUGAAGGUGUCCGGCACCACACCGUUGACCGCGAGGAAAAAAGGAAGACACAGAAUAGUGGAAUCGUCACUGAGGGGCCACAUGAUCGUGAGAUCAUUGACUUCUAUGGUCAGUUGAGAAGCAUCGUAGAGUUGCAGUACAACUCUAGUAGAGGCAUCCAUCGCUCGGUUGUCUUAUUUCGCCGUGACUGGUUUGAGCUUGGUAGCAAGAAGAAGAGAGACUCUUUUGUCAAAUAUGAUGGCCACUUCAAAAGCAUCAACACUGCAAGGUGCUGGUAUAAGAGUGAUCCCUUUAUUCUAACAACACAAGCAACAAUGGUGUUUUAUCUGCGAGACACUCUUUUGCACGGAAAAUGGCGAGUUGUGCAAAACUUUGAGCACAGACACUUGUGGAGUGUGACUGAAACUGAAGUGGAAAAGGGCCCCGGUGAUGGACUAACAUACCAAGAUGAUGACUCUACGGAAGUUCUGUUGCAAGCGGAUGAUGACUCUAUGGAAGUUCCGGUGCAAAGCAGAGUGCGAAGGGACCGGGAACGUGUGAUCGUUGAUGCUGCAACAGUUGAAGGCAUCAAGAAAAUAAGAAAGGUGGUAGCGGAUGGACACGAGAGCGAGGAUGAGGAAAACAGGACUGAUCAUACUAUGCUGCAAUAUUGUAGUGAUGAUGAGGAAAACAGGAGUGGGCAUAGAGUUCCUUGUUUUCGUAUCGACGACGAUGAGUAGCGAAGGUAGCAAAAUGCAUGAGACUGAUGGUUGUAGUGAUGGAGAGGCAGAUGAUGGUUGAUCAUGAUGUUUCAUGGAAAAUCAUGUAGUUUUGGUGAUCAUGAUGGCUCUAGUGAUGGAGGGGCAAAAUGCAUAGUGGCUCUAGUGAUGUAGUUUUGGUGCCAUUUUCUUAGUUUUGGUCAGAACUGUUAGUUGUGAUGAUCCUGAAGUUGUAAUGCAAAAUGAUGUUGUAAUGAUCCUGAAGUUUUUUGAACUGAAUUGAGAUGUUGUUUUCAGAGCUAUUUUUCAUACUAUUUUCAGAGAUAGUGAUGUUGGUGCAAAA